AAAACAAACCAAUCGUUCCAAAUGAGAGGUCUCAUUUGGAACUGCAGAGGGGUGGGCAAGAAAGGAAUGGCCACCUGCCUCUCUGACAUAAUUAGUGACCAUUCCAUUGACUUCCUGGGCUUGCAAGAGACUUUGAAGAGAGAUUUCCCUCCUAAGUCUAUCUGGAAAUUUGACCCUUAUGGCAAUUUCCAUUGGGAAUGGGUGCCUGCUGUAGGUAGAUCUGGUGGUAUCCUAUGUGGCAUUCGCAUCAACAACCUGGAGUUGUUGAGGUGUAUCAAAGGCAAAUACAUCUUGCAGAUGAAUGUUAGGGAUAUUAAAACUAAAAUUUCCUGGAGUUUCUUAGUGGUUUAUGGCUCGGCUCAUGAGGAAUUUAGGGAGGACUUCUUGAGGAAAUUAGCUUCUUUCUGCCAUAACACAGAUUUUCCCUACAUUGUAGGGGGGAUUUUAAUAUCCUUAGACACAAUGGUGAGAAGAACAAGAAAAUGCAACACUCUAAAUCUACAGACUUGUUCAAUGCCAUUAUUAAUACCUUGGGUCUUAGAGAAAUGUAUAUGA
rnacentral:rRNA from 1 species